CAAAUAAACAUUUUUUAAAAAGAUCAUUUAUUCAUUCAUGUGCCAGAAUAGACAACCCAAUUGUCUCCUUAAGAAAAAUUCAUGUCUUGUUUGCAGAUUCUGGUGCCCUACAAAGGGAAGGUAGUCAUUUAUUUGGAUAAAUCUUGAUCAGGCUUCUUAAUUUUCAAAAAAAGGCAGUCAACCUGACAGUCCCCAGGUUGGUUUAAAUUUUUUUAAUUAUUAUUGUUAUUAUUAUUAUAAAAGUAAUGCCUACUUAUUAUAAAAGCUACAAAAACAAUUCAUUUAGAAAGUUGUCUGCUAUAAGCUUACCUCUCCAAGAUAACUACUUUUAGACAUUGGUUAUGCAUUUAUCCAGAUUUUCCCUUCAUGUCUUACUUUUUCAGUAAUACUGACCUGCUCCAUUCUUCAUAACAAAACUGCAUUGUUUUCUUGAUUAACUCUUUAAAAAUUAUUUUCAAAAUCUAAAAGCAAUACAAAAUUAUAGUAAGGAGGGCUCAGAUGAACUAUGAAAUUCUAUCUCCCAAUGUUCAACACUGUCACCAAUUUCUUAUGUAACCUUCCAGAAAUUUUCUGUGUUAUUUUAUUAUUUCACUUGUAAUCCAAGCAUGAUCAUACAAUGCCUACUGUUCUGCAACUUGCUUUUUUUCACCUAACAAUGUCUUAUACAACUUUUCCUAACAGCACAUAUUGUCCCUCUUGUUCCUGUUGAUGACUGCAUGUCAUUCCACUGUACAGGUGUGCUAUAAUUUCUACAUCUUGGUCCAAUUCUCAUCCACACGCAACACCUGCAUUCUACUUUGCAAGAAUAAUUUGGAAAUGAGGUUGGGGUUAGUCCUUGCAUUCUCCUAGUAUGUAGGUCUUAUCCCUGAAUGCAGCCACCAUUGGUGACCUGCAUAUUCGGUCCACAUCUCCUGGAUCUCCCAAGCAGGUGCCUUCAUAGGCCUAGCACCUGAUCACGAGCAGGAUGUGAAGAGUGUCCACCGCUGCAUGGCCCACAGGAGGUCCAUGCAAAAUGAGUCUCACUUCUUCUGAGGAGUUUCUCUGCUUUCCUAAUGAGAAUGAACAUUAGAAGACUUUUGGAAGAUGCUUCUCAGACAUGACCCUUUCUGUGCUAAGGCCUGCUUUGCCUUUGCUCUGUUGCUGGGGAUAGGGUUGAAGGGUGCUGUGGAGAUGACAGAAGCAAGUGGGGUUGGGACAGCACGUGGCCUGACUGGAGAGAUUUGCAGCUCAAGGACAUAGGGCCAAAAUCCAUUUGAAAUACCUGGGCUCCCUUGAAAUGAGGUGUGGGGGCUGCUACACCUCUGCUUUUAGCGAGGCCCACUGCCUCAACUCGGAGUUUAAUGGGCUUUUUCUAAGCCUGAAAAGUGCCUCAUAUCCUAACAGCACCACCAUUCCUGGGAUUAGCUUGGAAACCAACAAGGCCAGCUUGGGACUUGGCAAUGCUUUCAGCAUCAGAGUCAGGAAGGACCUGGGCCUUCCACUAAAUAAGGGACAGGGGUGGCAGCCCCUAGAACCCAGGAGGUUAGAUGCUGUCCUGUCACCUACAUGAGGAAUGGCUGUGAUAAAAUAAUAACCAGGAACAGUAGGUGACCCAGUUUGAACAAAGGGGCUGAGGAUCGAUGCUUUGCAGCCGCUGCCUGCUUUGUGGGUCCUUUCGCUACAACAUUAUAUAUUAUAUGCAAAUAUCGGCACAAACUUAA